rnacentral:rRNA from 1 species
UACGUAGGGUGCGAGCGUUGUCCGGAAUUAUUGGGCGUAAAGAGCUUGUAGGCGGUCUGUCGCGUCUGCUGUGAAAAUCCGGGGCUCAACCCCGGACUUGCAGUGGGUACGGGCAGGCUAGAGUUCGGUAGGGGGAGACUGGAAUUCCUGGUGUAGCGGUGGAAUGCGCAGAUAUCAGGAGGAACACCAAUAGCGAAGGCAGCUCGCUGGGACGGUACUGACGCUAAGGCGCGAAAGCGUGGGGAGCGAACAGG